AUACGUAGGGGGCGAGCGUUGUCCGGAAUGAUUGGGCGUAAAGGGCGCGUAGGCGGCCCGGUAAGUCUGGAGUGAAAGUCCUGUUUUUAAGAUGGGAAUUGCUUUGGAUACUGUCGGGCUUGAGUGCAGGAGAGGGAAGUGGAAUUCCCAGUGUAGCGGUGAAAUGCGUAGAGAUUGGGAGGAACACCAGUGGCGAAGGCGACUUACUGGACUGUAACUGACGCUGAGGCGCGAAAGUGUGGGGAGCAAACAGGAUUAGAUACCCUGGUAGUCCACACUGUAAACGAUGAAUGCUAGGUGUAGGGGGUAUCGACCCCUUCUGUGCCGCAGUCAACACAAUAAGCAUUCCGCCUGGGGAGUACGGCCGCAAGGUUGAAACUCAAAUGAAUUGGCGGGG
rnacentral:rRNA from 1 species